rnacentral:rRNA from 1 species
UGGGGAAUAUUGGACAAUGGGCGAAAGCCUGAUCCAGCAAUGCCGCGUGAGUGAUGAAGGCCUUAGGGUUGUAAAGCUCUUUUACCCGGGAUGAUAAUGACAGUACCGGGAGAAUAAGCUCCGGCUAACUCCGUGCCAGCAGCCGCGGUAAUACGGAGGGAGCUAGCGUUGUUCGGAAUUACUGGGCGUAAAGCGCGCGUAGGCGGCAUGGCAAGUCAGGGGUGAAAUCCCGGGGCUCAACCCCGGAACUGCCUUUGAAACUGCUAAGCUAGAAUCCUGGAGAGGCGAGUGGAAUUCCGAGUGUAGAGGUGAAAUUCGUAGAUAUUCGGAAGAACACCAGUGGCGAAGGCGACUCGCUGGACAGGUAUUGACGCUGAGGUGCGAAAGCGUGGGGAGCAAACAGG